rnacentral:rRNA from 1 species
UACGAAGGGGGCUAGCGUUGCUCGGAAUCACUGGGCGUAAAGCGCACGUAGGCGGACUCUUAAGUCGGUGGUGAAAUCCUGGAGCUCAACUCCAGAACUGCCAUCGAUACUGAGAGUCUUGAGUCCGAGAGAGGUGAGUGGAACUGCGAGUGUAGAGGUGAAAUUCGUAGAUAUUCGCAAGAACACCAGUGGCGAAGGCGGCUCACUGGCUCGGUACUGACGCUGAGGUGCGAAAGCGUGGGGAGCAAACAGG